CCUACGGGUGGCAGCAGUAGGGAAUCUUCCACAAUGGGCGAAAGCCUGAUGGAGCAACGCCGCGUGGGUGAAGAAGGUCUUCGGAUCGUAAAACCCUGUUUUUAGAGAAGAAAGUGCGUGAGAGUAACUGUUCACGUUUCGACGGCAUCUAACCAGAAAGCCACGGCUAACUACGUGCCAGCAGCCGCGGUAAUACGUAGGUGGCAGGCGUUAUCCGGAUUUAUUGGGCGUAAAGGGAACGCAGGCGGUCUUUUAAGUCUGAUGUGAAAGGCUUCGGCUUAACCGGGGUAGUGCAUUGGAAACUGGGAGGCUUGAGUGCGGAGGAGGAGGGUGGAACUCGAGGUGUAGCGGUGAAAUGCGUAGAUAUCUCGAAGAACGCC
rnacentral:rRNA from 1 species